CUGGACUGCUAACAUGGAGAGAAUUAUGAAGGCACAGGCACUUAGGGACUCCAGCAUGGCUGGAUACAUGUCUAGCAAGAAGACCAUGGAGAUCAACCCAGAGAACUCCAUCAUGGAUGAGCUAAGGAAGAGGGCUGAUGCAGACAAGAAUGACAAGUCUGUGAAGGACUUGGUUCUCUUGCUUUUUGAGACUGCCCUUCUCACCUCAGGUUUCAGCCUCGAGGAGCCAAACACCUUUGGCAACAGAAUUCACAGGAUGUUGAAACUCGGUUUGAGCAUUGAUGAGGAAAGCGGAGAUGCUGAUGCUGACAUGCCAGCAUUGGAGGAUCCUGAAGCUGAUGCUGAGGGCAGCAAGAUGGAGGAGGUUGAUUAAGUUCAUUAAUGUUUUGAUAGUUUUAUGGGUUCCUUUACUACUACUUUAUUCCCUAGUUUUUGCUUUAUCCCAUCAGAACAAUAUGUGAGGGUUUUAAUGCCGUUCUUUUAGAAUGGCAGUUCAAUGUUAGGUUAUAAUUCUCUUUUUUGUUUUGACAUUCGUGGUUGAUAUAGUUUAUUUUCUUGCCCA
rnacentral:misc_RNA from 1 species